rnacentral:rRNA from 1 species
AAUGUAGGCUGGUUAUUAAGUUGGAAGUGAAAUCCUAUGGCUCAACCAUAGAACUGCUUCCAAAACUGAUUACCUAGAAUAUGGGAGAGGUAGAUGGAAUUUCUGGUGUAGGGGUAAAAUCCGUAGGGAUCAGAAGGAAUACCGAUUGCGAAGGCGAUCUACUGGAACAUUAUUGACGCUGAGAUUCGAAAGCGUGGGGAGCAAACAGGAUUAGAUACCCUGGUAGUCC